GACGAACCGUCCGAGCGUUAUUCGGAAUCACUGGGCUUAAAGGGUGCGUAGGCGGCGCAGUAAGUCGGGUGUGAAAUCCCUCGGCUUAACCGAGGAACUGCGCCCUAAACUACUGUGCUCGAGGGAGAUAGAGGUGAGCGGAACUUAGGGUGGAGCGGUGAAAUGCGUUGAUAUCCUAAGGAACACCGGUGGCGAAAGCGGCUCACUGGAUCUCUUCUGACGCUGAGGCACGAAAGCUAGGGUAGCGAACGGG
rnacentral:rRNA from 1 species